rnacentral:ncRNA from 2 species
AGAAUAAGAGUAUGUUCAGGUGUCCGUAAAAAGACUGAAAAGGGAACUUCGUGUAAAUCGAAGACGGGCCCGCCGCUGUAACCGGAAAAUAUUCUGCAUUUGCCACUGACUUGUUUCUAAUUAGUUGGGAAGGCGCAGGGUGAGAAGUAUCCGGAAGUCAGAAAACCUUCCUGGAUUAAUAGUGGUGA